CCUGCCCUUCAGCGGGGGAUAACUAGAAGAAAUUUUAGCUAAUACCGCGUACGAAAUAGCAACUUGAAUGAGCUAUUUGAAAGGAUGCCUCUUUACAAUGCAUUCGCUGAGGGAUGGGCCUGCGGGACAUUAGCUUGAUGGUGGGGUAACGGCCUACCAUGGCUACGAUGUCUAGCCGGAUUGAGAGAUUGAUCGGCCACACUGGAACUGAGACACGGUCCAG
rnacentral:rRNA from 1 species